GAAGCGUCUGGAAAGGCGCGCGAUACAGGGUGACAGCCCCGUACACAAAAAUGCACAUGCUGUGAGCUCGAUGAGUAGGGCGGGACACGUGGUAUCCUGUCUGAAUAUGGGGGGACCAUCCUCCAAGGCUAAAUACUCCUGACUGACCGAUAGUGAACCAGUACCGUGAGGGAAAGGCGAAAAGAACCCCGGCGAGGGGAGUGAAAAAGAACCUGAAACCGUGUACGUACAAGCAGUGGGAGCACGCUUAGGCGUGUGACUGCGUACCUUUUGUAUAAUGGGUCAGCGACUUAUAUUCUGUAGCAAGGUUAACCGAAUAGGGGAGCCGAAGGGAAACCGAGUCUUAACUGGGCGUUAAGUUGCAGGGUAUAGACCCGAAACCCGGUGAUCUAGCCAUGGGCAGGUUGAAGGUUGGGUAACACUAACUGGAGGACCGAACCGACUAAUGUUGAAAAAUUAGCGGAUGACUUGUGGCUGGGGGUGAAAGGCCAAUCAAACCGGGAGAUAGCUGGUUCUCCCCGAAAGCUAUUUAGGUAGCGCCUCGUGAAUUCAUCUCCGGGGGUAGAGCACUGUUUCGGCAAGGGGGUCAUCCCGACUUACCAACCCGAUGCAAACUGCGAAUACCGGAGAAUGUUAUCACGGGAGACACACGGCGGGUGCUAACGUCCGUCGUGAAGAGGGAAACAACCCAGACCGCCAGCUAAGGUCCCAAAGUCAUGGUUAAGUGGGAAACGAUGUGGGAAGGCCCAGACAGCCAGGAUGUUGGCUUAGAAGCAGCCAUCAUUUAAAGAAAGCGUAAUAGCUCACUGGUCGAGUCGGCCUGCGCGGAAGAUGUAACGGGGCUAAACCAUGCACCGAAGCUGCGGCAGCGACGCUUAUGCGUUGUUGGGUAGGGGAGCGUUCUGUAAGCCUGCGAAGGUGUGCUGUGAGGCAUGCUGGAGGUAUCAGAAGUGCGAAUGCUGACAUAAGUAACGAUAAAGCGGGUGAAAAGCCCGCUCGCCGGAAGACCAAGGGUUCCUGUCCAACGUUAAUCGGGGCAGGGUGAGUCGACCCCUAAGGCGAGGCCGAAAGGCGUAGUCGAUGGGAAACAGGUUAAUAUUCCUGUACUUGGUGUUACUGCGAAGGGGGGACGGAGAAGGCUAUGUUGGCCGGGCGACGGUUGUCCCGGUUUAAGCGUGUAGGCUGGUUUUCCAGGCAAAUCCGGAAAAUCAAGGCUGAGGCGUGAUGACGAGGCACUACGGUGCUGAAGCAACAAAUGCCCUGCUUCCAGGAAAAGCCUCUAAGCAUCAGGUAACAUCAAAUCGUACCCCAAACCGACACAGGUGGUCAGGUAGAGAAUACCAAGGCGCUUGAGAGAACUCGGGUGAAGGAACUAGGCAAAAUGGUGCCGUAACUUCGGGAGAAGGCACGCUGAUAUGUAGGUGAAGUCCCUCGCGGAUGGAGCUGAAAUCAGUCGAAGAUACCAGCUGGCUGCAACUGUUUAUUAAAAACACAGCACUGUGCAAACACGAAAGUGGACGUAUACGGUGUGACGCCUGCCCGGUGCCGGAAGGUUAAUUGAUGGGGUUAGCGCAAGCGAAGCUCUUGAUCGAAGCCCCGGUAAACGGCGGCCGUAACUAUAACGGUCCUAAGGUAGCGAAAUUCCUUGUCGGGUAAGUUCCGACCUGCACGAAUGGCGUAAUGAUGGCCAGGCUGUCUCCACCCGAGACUCAGUGAAAUUGAACUCGCUGUGAAGAUGCAGUGUACCCGCGGCAAGACGGAAAGACCCCGUGAACCUUUACUAUAGCUUGACACUGAACAUUGAGCCUUGAUGUGUAGGAUAGGUGGGAGGCUUUGAAGUGUGGACGCCAGUCUGCAUGGAGCCGACCUUGAAAUACCACCCUU
rnacentral:rRNA from 1 species